rnacentral:rRNA from 1 species
CCUACGGGCGGCUGCAGUGGGGAAUUUUCGGCAAUGGGGGGAACCCUGACCGAGCAAUGCCGCGUGAAUGAAGAAGGUCUUCGGACUGUAAAGUUCUGUUAUCGGGAAAGAAGGUAUAUACCAGGAAAUGGGUAUAUAUUGACGGUACCCAAUUAGAAAGCCCCGGCUAACUACGUGCCAGCAGCCGCGGUAAUACGUAGGGGGCGAGCGUUAUCCGGAAUUAUUGGGCGUAAAGCGUGCGUAGGCGGAAUGUUAAGUCAUUUGUAAAAGAUCUCAGCCUAACUGAGUAAGGCGAAUGAAACUGGCAAUCUUGAAUACGGUAGAGGUAAGUGGAAUUCCAUGUGUAGCGGUGGAAUGCGUAGAUAUAUGGAGGAACACCAAUGGCGAAGGCAGCUUACUGGGCCGGAAUUGACGCUGAGGCACGAAAGCGUGGGGAGCAAACAGGAUUAGAUACCCCUGUAGUC